AGCGGUCACGGAAACCUGUCACCCUAUCCGAUGAAUCCCGGAGGUUAGUCGCUCCCUGUCCCACUCUCUUACCACGAUCGCACAACAUGAUCGAAUCAGGCACGGGCUCCCUGCCGCGCGUGUUGUGUUCGACGAAAUGCGCCUGAUUCUUUUUCUUCACGAUCCUCAAUGCGCGCGAGGUCUCGCGAGGGUCACAAGAUCGCAAUUCUGUAGCACGAAAAUAGAAGCCAUCGUGUAUUCGUAUUUGCUUGCACUGGUAACCACAGGCAGGAUGCAAAAGUUACAUUAAUUCGGGGGAGCAUGUGGUAAGGAACUUGCAAUAUCCCAGAACGUGAUGAAUGUAUAUUUCAAUCCUUAUUCUUAAAGGGAUGAUGUCUACAUUACCAAAGCAAAUAUAUGCGUGCAUCAUUCCAUAAUCUAUGUUACUCGGCAACUUUUCAUGAUAUUUAACUCAAUUAGUCUGCUGAAUUCCACCCACUUUAGUAACGUUCUAUGAAAAUGGUUCUGACAAUUGCAAAAUUACAUCGUAUAUUCUUUUUUUCAUAUAAUGGUGGUGCUAUAUGAAGUAUUGCGUGUGCUGUUAUACUGAAUUUCUGAGUAUUUACUAGUUUCUUUUUUUGAGAAUGAUGGCACUUUAUUCAUAUAGUAGCAUCAGGAGAAUGAUGGCACUUUAUUCAUAUAGUAGCAUCAGUACACAUAUUUUCCCAGAUAAGAUCUGGGAUUACACCACGUAGAUCUGACUAAGAGCAAGUUCAUGUGCUGGUACAUUCAACAAACGUUUUACAUGGACAAAAGAGCAAGCACGAAAUUCUGCUGCCAGGAAUUUCAUGUCAGCAAUCAUCGUGCCUACAGAUGACCAAUCCCUGAAAGAAGCACGAACUCUCUGAACCAACGAGAGACAGUAAGCAGCGAGGAUUGCCUUAGAGAAGCUGUCAUCCGGGGUGAGGGCCAGGGCAUUGUGGCAUUCAGAUAGUUGUGAUAGUGGUUAAUUAAGGCAUAAACAAUCGAACCGAAUCAAAAAAUAACUAGAGUUAUGGGAAAAAGAGGUGAAGUUCAUGCAAUGGACCAGAUAAUGUAUCAGUUAUUUAAUUUUAAUAUUUUAGUUGUAUUUUAAAUGGAAAAAUCAUUCUGUUAUAUCAGAAGUUCAUUCAUAGAACAGAUUGCCCAAUAAGAAGGUUUGAACUCAACUGAAUUAGACUUCACCAGAAUGGCCUUGCGUUAUUUGAUCACCUCCUCGCUGGAUGCCCCUUCUCCCGCGUUGUCUGGCAUAGCACACUUGCUGCAUGCAGACUCACGGUUGACAUCCCGACCCCUACGUCCCGGUUCAUCGAAUGGUGGAGUUCGGCUGUGGCGUCCUCCCCUCCGUCUCUGCGCAAAGGUGUUGCCUCCCUGGGUAUUCUGAUGGCUUGGAGCAUCUGGAAGCAUCGCAAUGCUGUCAUCUUCGACGCUGCUGCACCUUCCUCUGACCGCCUCACUCGGUCCAUCCUCGAUGAGGCACGCACGUGGGCUCUGGCCGGAGCUAGAGGAUUGGCAGCGUUUUCUAUUUUUGAGCCACCUUAGACGUUUCUUGUUACUUGCGACUGAGCAUCCUCGCUCUCUCGAUGCUUGUGUGGGUGUAGUCUUGCCCUCCUUGGUGUACGAGUACUGUACCUGCUACCCUGUAUGCUCUUUGCUCUCUACCUAUCAAUGAAAUGAUACGCAGCUUGCGUAUUCGCGAAAAAAAAAGAAAUAUGUUGGAUGAAUUUCCAACAAUCGCUAGCCUUAUGCUGUACCGAUUGAUAAAUUCUUCCUGUCUACCUUUUAUAGUUUCUGAACAGAAUCAGGCUUCCUUAAGACAAGAAGUCGAUUAACCUGUGCCCUUUGGUUAUCAUAUUUGUCGGAUGGCUACACGGUGGCUACCCCCAUCCACAGUUUGACAAACAGUGAUUCAUUUGUUUUGCCACAUCCAUUUUGCAAAUAAAUGAUAUGGGUGAUACUUAUUAUUCUGGUUGAAAUUCCGCAAAUAUAGGUAGGUCGACUAAACCAAAUUUACUUGCACUUCAAAUGUUUAAGAGGCUAAAUUUGUGCGUGUGUCGUUCUUGGCAGGGAUCAGGGGGAGCAGAGUGGUGCACAACAGUGGUAUUACCAAAUCACAAAUCUUUUGCUUACAUCAGCAAGUGGACACCUUGUGAGCAAAACUCAAGCUUAGGUCCAGAUUUCUUCAAUCAGUGGUGCUUCAAUUAUGCGUAGGGAAAUUCAAUAUUCUAUUAUUCAACAAAACAAAGUUUCAACUGUGGUAUUGCAGUUUCAACUUGCGAUUUUCUCCAUACUGUAUAUAGUUUUUUUUUGAGAAUCCAUACUGUAUAUAGUCAACUUGCGAGUAAGUGCUUCUUUUAUUUGAAUCCGGAUUGGUGUGCCACUCUGCAAAAUCUGCAAAUAGGUUAUUUUGUUUGACUGAUAUCAAAUUAUUCAUAUGUUUUCACCAAUUAUUCAUGCUUUAUUACCAGUAAUCACAACAGCAAU
rnacentral:lncRNA from 1 species